rnacentral:lncRNA from 1 species
UUUUAUUUUCUUAUUUGAUUUUGAUUUUUGGUAAACCUUAAAUUAGAGAUAAACAUCAUAUGAUUUCAAAGGAAGAUGAAGAAAAAUAGGAAAAAAAAUCAAAUUUUUAAAUAAGUAACUUAAGCAACAUUAUCUCCUCCUUUGCAAAGUAACUUGUCAUUUCCUUCUUUCCACACAAUGUUGAGUUUCAAAUUUUGUCUUUCAUUUAUUGAUGGAGUUGUUUGUUU